rnacentral:lncRNA from 1 species
CCUCGUCUCUCUCAUUCGCUGUGGUGUCCAAGUUUGCUUUCAAUCGUUCUUCAAAACUACAGGUGUUUCGCUUGUGUUUUUUCUAGGUCCUACUCUUGAGGUACGAUAUGUACACUAUUGGGUUUCUUAUCUCAUAAGAAAGCCCUAACCCUAGUUCCCCGUUUGGUGUUUCUCUUCAAAAAUUAUCAUCAGUAGGCUUAAGUUAUGGAUUAGUUUGUUUUGUGCAACAAUGCCCAAAUCUGUGAUGCGCCAAACUGUUAAUGCCAAGACAAGAGAAUAUUAGGGCAGUUCAUGGAUGUGAGAUGCUAUGGCCUAUAAAUGAACUUUCAGUCAAUGAAAGCAAACAACAGCUGAUGCCUUUGUUCCAUUCUCUGGCUCCUCCAUUGCAUCAUUAUGUGUGAAAGCAAUGCCAUCACACCGCGACCUACAGUUGUCACACGUCGGCCUACCUUUGUUGGUCGUCUCCUGAUUUCUGAGUGAUCCACUUGAAUUUGUAAGUUUUAUUUUCCUUUUUUCCUAAAACUUGGUAUUUUCAGUUGACACUUGGGCAUGUUAUAAAUUGUAAGUAGCCUUUUGACCCACUCUUUUAGACUUUACUUGUAUAACUAAUUAGUUUUGCUUAAUUGAGACUAUAUUUUCUGUAAAGAGUUAUUUCUUGCUUACAAAGUCAGUUCAAAAUAUCAAUUUUGACAUUUUUUGUGAUAUUUGGUGUGGAAAUAUGCUGCCAACAUCUAAGUUCAGUUGCUUGUCUAGUGAAGAGGACCUUGUAUUACAGCUAGGGGUGUAAACGAGCUGAGCUACUCGAGAUUGGCUAGUAAAAAGCUCGAAACAAUCCGGGCUUAAUUCAACACAUUUACUUUUCCAGGUAGAAGAAGCUCAGCAGAAAUGGUGUGUGGCGUUUACCAAAACGAAAAACAAGCUGAAAAUUGCAUUUAAUAAACAGUAAAAAGUGGCGAACAUAGAAGAUAUCAGGUAACUACGACAUGUUAUAGCUACUUUGGCACCUGACAGAGCGCUGCAAUUCUCAUGCACUGAUGCAUGCAUGAUGCACUGAUGCAGACUGUUAUAACUUUUCUUAUUCUGAUGCACUGAUGAAGGCAUGAUAAGCAAUCCAGCUUAACAAAGGAAACACAUACGUUUUUAGUCAACUGGUUGCUUAGUACUUUCUCUCUAACAGUCUCUUUUUGUGUUCGUUUUUAUUUCUCAGGGGCGC